rnacentral:misc_RNA from 1 species
AACAAGAUCAACUCUAGUUGAGAGUUGGGCGUGGCCUUAUACGCAAAAGUGUAUUUGGCUUGAUUACAUCGAGUUGAUGAGCUUCCCAGUGCGGCUCAAUGUGUGCUAGCGAGACAGUCGUCCCGAUCUCACAUUAAUGUCGCAUUGCAGAGUUCUGUCCACAGCUCGCUAAACUUUUUAUUCAUUGCAU